ensembl:ncRNA sisRNA:4 stable intronic sequence RNA 4
CGGGGCUGGCGAGCGACCUGCGUGGGAACCUUUUGCUAAAAUAUGCAGUCCCAGCGGCGAGAAAGGGACGAACAAUCGGGGACCGAAGACUGGCGAAGAUCGCACUGCGCGAAAAAAGAAGAUCAGGAAGAACGAUUUGGAAUCUUCUGUGCCCAAAAAGUCUUCAUAUGAGAUCACAAACGAUAAGAUCGGCGAGUAGUUUAUUUUAGAACCACUUACUAAAGACAGUCACUUUUCCAUCAUUAGUAUUCACUUGCCAGAAAAUUUGACUUUAAGCCCCCUUUUUGCUCAGUGCACAGUAGCAAGAUCAGUCGUUCUUCUCGCUGGAGUUGCUGAAUCUCACCUUGGUCGUGUGAUAUUUACAGAGUGGACUCGACUGAAGUGGACUGCAGAUUACACGCGAAUAGUUGGACAUAUGAGGCACGAAACGUGCUUCUUAACUUCGCUUUUUCCCAAGCUAUUGAACUUGUUGUAGGGCCCCAAACAAUUAGCCCGACCAUCUCCCACCCCAUCCCCAUUUCAUCAUUAUCUGAC